GCUUCUCUGAGGGCUAUUGCCAAGAUCUCCAGGAAACUCUCAUGGAGAUACUGGGCAAUCUGCUGCUGCAGGGUCCUCAGCAGAGCUGCUUUGUUUCUUGUCCAAUUAACGGUAACUUUCCUGCACUGCUGUGCCAUCACGGGGGGUUGGGGUGGACCAUUGCUGCACACAGGUGAACCGCAUAGGGGCUGGGACAGAAG